AGGUCUUGACAUCCUUUGACCACUCUAGAGAUAGAGCUUUCCCUUCGGGGACAAAGUGACAGGUGGUGCAUGGUUGUCGUCAGCUCGUGUCGUGAGAUGUUGGGUUAAGUCCCGCAACGAGCGCAACCCUUAUUACUAGUUGCCAGCAUUUAGUUGGGCACUCUAGUGAGACUGCCGGUGACAAACCGGAGGAAGGUGGGGAUGACGUCAAAUCAUCAUGCCCCUUAUGACCUGGGCUACACACGUGCUACAAUGGAUGGUACAACGAGUCGCAAGGUCGCGAGGCCAAGCUAAUCUCUUAAAGCCAUUCUCAGUUCGGAUUGUAGGCUGCAACUCGCCUACAUGAAGCCGGAAUCGCUAGUAAUCGCGGAUCAGAACGCCGCGGUGAAUACGUUCCCGGGUC
rnacentral:rRNA from 1 species